CCCUCAAUGAUGUUUUGAAGC
rnacentral:miRNA from 1 species